rnacentral:rRNA from 1 species
GCUACACAUGCAAGUCGAACGGCAGCACAGUAAGAGCUUGCUCUUAUGGGUGGCGAGUGGCGGACGGGUGAGGAAUACAUCGGAAUCUACUCUUUCGUGGGGGAUAACGUAGGGAAACUUACGCUAAUACCGCAUACGACCUACGGGUGAAAGCGGAGGACCUUCGGGCUUCGCGCGAUUGAAUGAGCCGAUGUCGGAUUAGCUAGUUGGCGGGGUAAAGGCCCACCAAGGCGACGAUCCGUAGCUGGUCUGAGAGGAUGAUCAGCCACACUGGAACUGAGACACGGUCCAGACUCCUACGGGAGGCAGCAGUGGGGAAUAUUGGACAAUGGGCGCAAGCCUGAUCCAGCCAUGCCGCGUGGGUGAAGAAGGCCUUCGGGUUGUAAAGCCCUUUUGUUGGGAAAGAAAAGCAGUCGGUUAAUACCCGAUUGUUCUGACGGUACCCAAAGAAUAAGCACCGGCUAACUUCGUGCCAGCAGCCGCGGUAAUACGAAGGGUGCAAGCGUUACUCGGAAUUACUGGGCGUAAAGCGUGCGUAGGUGGUGGUUUAAGUCUGUUGUGAAAGCCCUGGGCUCAACCUGGGAAUUGCAGUGGAUACUGGGUCACUAGAGUGUGGUAGAGGGUAGCGGAAUUCCCGGUGUAGCAGUGAAAUGCGUAGAGAUCGGGAGGAACAUCCGUGGCGAAGGCGGCUACCUGGACCAACACUGACACUGAGGCACGAAAGCGUGGGGAGCAAACAGGAUUAGAUACCCUGGUAGUCCACGCCCUAUACGAUGCGAACUGGAUGUUGGGUGCAAUUUGGCACGCAGUAUCGAAGCUAACGCGUUAAGUUCGCCGCCUGGGGAGUACGGUCGCAAGACUGAAACUCAAAGGAAUUGACGGGGGCCCGCACAAGCGGUGGAGUAUGUGGUUUAAUUCGAUGCAACGCGAAGAACCUUACCUGGUCUUGACGUCCACGGAACUUUCCAGAGAUGGAUUGCUGCCUUCGGCAACCGAGAGACAGGUGCUGCAUGG